rnacentral:lncRNA from 1 species
UGCUCACCCAGGAGAUGUCUGGAGAGGGAGCAGAGGAACUGGGCGCUAGGAACAUCAGCAUUUAAAGGAGAAGCAAAGAGAAACCUACAAAGAAAUCUGAGGAACCCUGCAGAGAGGGAUGGACACCAAGGUUGGUUCCAGUUCCCUGCUACCACAAGCAACAGUGUGUUGAACUUCAUCAUGUCUCCACUUGUGGACUUGUAUGAGAAUUUCUAGGAGAUACAUGGUUGACCCUUGAACAAGGUGAGGUUUGGGGUGCUGAUC